UCACUGCUGAAGAGUCCCAGGCUAGGACGAAACGGUCUUCCAGUAA
rfam:Schistosoma curassoni strain Dakar, Senegal genome assembly, scaffold: SCTD_scaffold0002824